CUCCUACCCCAUCCCUAGUCACGUCCUGUGUGGACAUUCCAAUGUUCGAUUGCCAUCAUAUCCCAAACACUGGCCAUCACCUAAGAUGCUGACACCCAAAUGCCAAAACACCCCCAUGGGCAGCACGUCCCUUUUCCAAUAUCUAUGAACUCAUCUUCAGUCGGAACACAGCCAGCACACCCAGUACCCGAAGAGGCCCACCUCCAACGUGGGGAUAUCCCACCCCCAAUUCUUCUGAAGCCCCAACACUCCCCUGGCCAUACCCACCUUCAUACUCCAGACUUCCCCCGGAUGAUGGGCAAUGCAGACCAGCAUCCGGCCCUUGAACUUCUCAGGGCCUUUAAUGAUUCUCAUACCUUUGUGAUUCUCAUAUAAGGAAUAAGGUCUCCAAGAAUCUCACCCUGG
rnacentral:lncRNA from 1 species